UUUGGUAGCGUCCGUGUCCCCUUAUCUGUCGUCUCUCUCUGUCUCUCUCUGUCUCCCGUUUCCUGCUCUCUUCCCUUGUCAUUGACAGACACACAGCUCCUUAUCGUUUAUUGUAUUGAUCGACAGAUACAUCAGAAAGUUAGCCCAUCAAUGAUGGUUUCUUUACCUCACUCACGAUGGUUUAGCUAGGUUUUCUCUGCUACAUUAGAAGCCCCAUCUCACUCAGCACCUGAUCAAUGGUAUUGGUAUCUCAUCAUAUAUUGUUUUGGUUCCUCAUUUCUCAAGAAAUAAAAGUAAUACCGGGUGGAGGCUGUGGGGAUGAAACUUAUAUACCAUCAAACCAUGAAAGCUUUUCUAACCUUGUUGAACGUUGAUGCUUCCCAUCAAUCAUUGAUCUCAAUGUGGAUGAUUUGUGAGUAAUAUGGCAGAUUAUUCUUCUUAUUUGAAGAAUUUCUAGCAGUUUCAUAUUUGCAGCCUUCAAAUGCAAUAAAUUAGAAACGCCAAUCGGACUUUCUUGGUUUUAUUUUUAGCGUUGUACAUUGCCUGUUUCAAAUGCAGGGGCAAUGAUUAUUGCAUUUGGUUCUUUUUUAUCACUUGGUUUAUUUAUUGAAUAUUUCGUUAUGUUUUUCAUUCUCUAUUUGCUUUAAGAAGCUUUAUUUAAACUACUACUUCAAACGUACCUGCAUUCUAUAGCAGUAGUUGAUGAAUGCAGCUACUGGCACACUUCCAUUACUUAUUUGGAGAAACAAUUUUUCGUUUAUGAUAGCGCAUGUUCACAAUGUCAUGUACAGCAAAAACAGUUCCUUUCAAUUAUGUAGUAAAAUAGCUUAAAUUAAUAUCUUUUCUCAUCAUACUUAUCGUUAUCUGAUUAUAGUUAUGUCGUUAAACCCUUUCAAAAUUUUUAAAGAUUUUUGCAAAAUGAAGCGACCAAGUGCAAAAAAAUAUUAAUACGCAAGUUGAAGUUCAUUUAUGCUUACAAUGAUUGCUUGGAUUUGGGCUUCUUUAGUUACAUUUGUAUUCAGAUGGGUGUUAAAGCAUAUGAUUUUGCUUGCUGGCUAUAUGAUUAGCUAGAGGAGUCCAAUGGCUGUGAUUUAGUUCAGGGAGACAAUUUAAGGCUGAUGAACUCAACUUUUAUUUAUCUUCCUUGCUGUAUUUCAAGUGGCAUAUUAUAGCAAGAACAGAUGGGAUGAGCCAUGUGUUGGCAAGGCACAGGGGUUUCCUUUGAAAGUUAAAUUCUCUAAGGUGAUAUUGUUUUGUUUGUUUUAAUUCAGUUCCUACUUUAUCUUUAUGUUGUCAAUGUAAGAUCAGAAAAAUAUUUUGGUCACUUUGGCUGAUACAAAAGGUUUCAUUGUGCUGUGACUAACUAGUUUUACUUGAUCGGGUUUGAACCCCGUCAUCCAACGAUGAAUUGAGGCCUUCAACCAAUGAGAAAUGGAUCAAUUUGAUGUAAGUUCAUCUGGUGCUUUAGAAUAUUGAGUGGGAAAAAGUAUCUUGUGCAAAAUUUUGAAGGUCUUUGAUGAGGUAGCACACUUUUUUUCAAGGAAAUAUAUAUCCAACUACUAAUCUGUAUUUCAAGGUGGUGUGGAAGAUUCAUAGCCACUUUUUUGAAGUAGUGAUUGGCCCAGAAAAUUUCAUGACAUAUAUGGUCAAGGAAAUGUUGUAUAAUUUGAAAAUAAAACCACAAUGGAUAAAAUUCAGUUUGAAUUUUUUCAGUUUUCAACAGUUAAGAUAUGAUGGAAUAACCGCUAUGUUUGUGUCUCUUGAAUAGACACUAUCAACUGCUUAUAUAUAAGCAGAAAAAACCUUCCUUCAGCAAUUGAACUUCUCUAUAAUCACUCUCAACUUUGUUUGCUGCACAAACAUACUUGAGAUUUUGCAUUCAUGUGGAGCACUGUGAGUGUUCACAAUCUGGUUUCUUAAGUGCAAAAAGAAAUCAAGCAAUGGACUUCAUUGUAUCCUAUGGGAAAAUAUAGCCUUGAGGACUGUGGCAGUGUUACACUUCUUGGGUCCUAUCACAUUUAUUUUGUAUUAUUGAUUUAACAAGAAAUGCUAUUGAAAGUCACUGAAUGUUGGCCAAAAUGUAGCUUGAUAUUGUCAUGUGCUGCAAUAUUUGAUCCAUGGUACAAGAUCAAGUUUAUCGAGUACAUUGAGUACUGUUAUACGAAACUUUACAAUAGUGAUGCUCUGCAGUUAUUGGCACCAUUGCUGACAGUCUUUGUAGGUUUUUCAAUGAGUAUGUCAGAAACUCUUGCUUCUUUUCUGUUAAUAGUGCAGGACCUGUUGUUUCCGCUAAUGUUGCUUGUGAUGGAUAUUAUAGUGUUUCGUUUGAAGAAACAUUUCAGAGUGCUAGUUUUCGGACUAAAAUGCAGAGGCUGGCCAUGAUCUUAAUAGUGACAUAGAUGUCUGACAAUAUUGGAGGUUAAGCUCAAUCAAAUAUCCGGAGUUUUAAAAAAUGGCUUGUGAUAUUUUGACUAUUCCAAUGGCUACGAUGGCUUCUAAUAGUGUGUUUACCAUAGGUUGUUGUCCAGUGAUAAAUCCUUGUUGAAAUUCACCAAAACAGAAGAGAUUACAAGCCUUGAUAUGCCUUCAAGAAUGGCUGAAGCCAUAUGAUAUGGCAGAUAAUUCGACUGUGUUUGGAGCUUUAAGUUUUUGCCAUUCUAUGCAUAAGAUCUUAUUGAUUUACAACUUCUCUAGGGCAGAGUCUGGCUGAUGACGAUGACUCCGGUUCAAACGAUGGAGGUGAGGAAGAUGAUGCUGAUUAGGCACUCAAAAUUAUGUCAAUUUCCUAUGGAAUGAGAUUGAUGGAAAAGGGACAUCAUUCUUGGUAGAAAAUAUCAAAUAGAUUUAUCCUCUUGGACGGCUUUUGCUAGUCUUACUCCGGAUUGAAUGGCCAUUUACAACUUGGUUAGAGCCUGUUAUUGCCACUAGGCACCAAUACAAGUUGAAUGAUAUUCGAGUGAUCCUCAGAGCAGACACUACGGAUUCAGGCACUAUAUCAACCUGCAGAACUCACUCAUGGCAUCUUGGAUUGCAGUUGAAGUAAUAAUUAUGCCAUUCUGUUAUGGGCAACCCAAGCUACAAUGUUUGAGAGUACAAGUAAGAAUAACAGCAGGUAUAAUUAAGCUGGAGAGGCUAGUGAAGCUUUAGUGGCUUCAAGAUCAGCAGCUUUCUUGAGAAAACUUGAUCAUCGUCUUCAAGAGCCAUCUGGAUGGGUCCUGAGCCCAAACCAUCAGCAACUCAUCAAGAUCAAUCGUAUCACAAUCAGACUUUUCAAAGAUGGAGUCAUACAACUAGGAGAGCAGCUCUGGAGGGGUGACGAUGUCGAUUCCAAAAAUGGGAUUCGGUCAAACGUAGGGACUCAAAGGCCUUAGCAAGACCAUCGUUGUUGAACUUAAUAUAUUUCAUAUGUGAUUGUCAUGAGCAUUACUUUUAUGGUUUUUAAUAGAAAAUGUUUUUUUAUUUUGUAA